rnacentral:rRNA from 1 species
GAGUAACACGUAUCCAACCUUCCCAUAACUCAGGGAUAGCCUUUCGAAAGAAAGAUUAAUACCUGAUAGUACUUUCCAAGGCAUCUUGAGAAAGUUAAAGAUUUAUUGGUUAUGGAUGGGGAUGCGUUCCAUUAGAUAGUUGGUCAGGUAACGGCUCACCAAGUCUUCGAUGGAUAGGGGUUCUGAGAGGAAGGUCCCCCACAUUGGUACUGAGACACGGACCAAACUCCUACGGGAGGCAGCAGUGAGGAAUAUUGGUCAAUGGGCGAGAGCCUGAACCAGCCAAGUAGCGUGAAGGAUAGAAGGUCCUAUGGAUUGUAAACUUCUUUUAUAGUAGAAUAAAGUGAUCCACGUGUGGAUUUUUGUAUGUAUACUAUGAAUAAGGAUCGGCUAACUCCGUGCCAGCCGCUGC